rfam:Desulfuromonadales bacterium C00003094 3datasets_contig_163167, whole genome shotgun sequence.
GCCGAAGUGGUGGAAUUGGUAGACACGCAUGUUUCAGGGACAUGUGUCCGAAAGGACGUGGGAGUUCGAGUCUCCCCUUCGGCA